rnacentral:rRNA from 1 species
GGUUAAGCGACUAAGCGUACACGGUGGAUGCCCUGGCAGUCAGAGGCGAUGAAGGACGUGCUAAUCUGCGAAAAGCGUCGGUAAGGUGAUAUGAACCGUUAUAACCGGCGAUGUCCGAAUGGGGAAACCCAGUGUGAUUCGUCACACUAUCGUUAACUGAAUACAUAGGUUAACGAGGCGAACCGGGGGAACUGAAACAUCUAAGUACCCCGAGGAAAAGAAAUCAACCGAGAUUCCCCCAGUAGCGGCGAGCGAACGGGGAGCAGCCCAGAGUCUGAAUCAGCUUGUGUGUUAGUGGAACGGUCUGGAAAGUCCGACGGUACAGGGUGAUAGUCCCGUACACCAAAAUGCACAGGUUGUGAACUCGAAGAGUAGGGCGGGACACGUGGUAUCCUGUCUGAAUAUGGGGGGACCAUCCUCCAAGGCUAAAUACUCCUGACUGACCGAUAGUGAACCAGUACCGUGAGGGAAAGGCGAAAAGAACCCCGGCGAGGGGAGUGAAAAAGAACCUGAAACCGUGUACGUACAAGCAGUGGGAGCACCUUCGGGUGUGACUGCGUACCUUUUGUAUAAUGGGUCAGCGACUUAUAUUCUGUAGCAAGGUUAACCGUAUAGGGGAGCCGCAGGGAAACCGAGUCUUAACUGGGCGUUAAGUUGCAGGGUAUAGACCCGAAACCCGGUGAUCUAGCCAUGGGCAGGUUGAAGGUUGGGUAACACUAACUGGAGGACCGAACCGACUAAUGUUGAAAAAUUAGCGGAUGACUUGUGGCUGGGGGUGAAAGGCCAAUCAAACCGGGAGAUAGCUGGUUCUCCCCGAAAGCUAUUUAGGUAGCGCCUCGUGAACUCAUCUUCGGGGGUAGAGCACUGUUUCGGCUAGGGGGUCAUCCCGACUUACCAACCCGAUGCAAACUACGAAUACCGAAGAAUGUUAUCACGGGAGACACACGGCGGGUGCUAACGUCCGUCGUGAAGAGGGAAACAACCCAGACCGCCAGCUAAGGUCCCAAAGUCAUGGUUAAGUGGGAAACGAUGUGGGAAGGCACAGACAGCCAGGAUGUUGGCUUAGAAGCAGCCAUCAUUUAAAGAAAGCGUAAUAGCUCACUGGUCGAGUCGGCCUGCGCGGAAGAUGUAACGGGGCUAAACCAUGCACCGAAGCUGCGGCAGCGACACUAUGUGUUGUUGGGUAGGGGAGCGUUCUGUAAGCCUGCGAAGGUGUGCUGUGAGGCAUGCUGGAGGUAUCAGAAGUGCGAAUGCUGACAUAAGUAACGAUAAAGCGGGUGAAAAGCCCGCUCGCCGGAAGACCAAGGGUUCCUGUCCAACGUUAAUCGGGGCAGGGUGAGUCGACCCCUAAGGCGAGGCCGAAAGGCGUAGUCGAUGGGAAACAGGUUAAUAUUCCUGUACUUGGUGUUACUGCGAAGGGGGACGGAGAAGGCUAUGUUAGCCGGGCGACGGUUGUCCCGGUUUAAGCAUGUAGGCUGAUUGUCCAGGCAAAUCCGGAUAAUCAAGGCUGAGGUGUGAUGACGAGGCACUACGGUGCUGAAGUAACAAAUGCCCUGCUUCCAGGAAAAGCCUCUAAGCAUCAGGUAACAUCAAAUCGUACCCCAAACCGACACAGGUGGUCAGGUAGAGAAUACCAAGGCGCUUGAGAGAACUCGGGUGAAGGAACUAGGCAAAAUGGUGCCGUAACUUCGGGAGAAGGCACGCUGGUGUGUAGGUGAAGUCCCUGCGGAUGGAGCUGAGACCAGUCGAAGAUACCAGCUGGCUGCAACUGUUUAUUAAAAACACAGCACUGUGCAAACACGAAAGUGGACGUAUACGGUGUGACGCCUGCCCGGUGCCGGAAGGUUAAUUGAUGGGGUUAUCCGUAAGGAGAAGCUCUUGAUCGAAGCCCCGGUAAACGGCGGCCGUAACUAUAACGGUCCUAAGGUAGCGAAAUUCCUUGUCGGGUAAGUUCCGACCUGCACGAAUGGCGUAAUGAUGGCCAGGCUGUCUCCACCCGAGACUCAGUGAAAUUGAACUCGCUGUGAAGAUGCAGUGUACCCGCGGCAAGACGGAAAGACCCCGUGAACCUUUACUAUAGCUUGACACUGAACAUUGAGCCUUGAUGUGUAGGAUAGGUGGGAGGCUUUGAAGCGUGGACGCCAGUCUGCGUGGAGCCAACCUUGAAAUACCACCCUUUAAUGUUUGAUGUUCUAACGUUGGCCCCUUACCGGGGUUGCGGACAGUGUCUGGUGGGUAGUUUGACUGGGGCGGUCUCCUCCCAAAGCGUAACGGAGGAGCACGAAGGUUAGCUAAUCCUGGUCGGACAUCAGGAGGUUAGUGCAAUGGCAUAAGCUAGCUUGACUGCGAGCGUGACGGCGCGAGCAGGUGCGAAAGCAGGUCAUAGUGAUCCGGUGGUUCUGAAUGGAAGGGCCAUCGCUCAACGGAUAAAAGGUACUCCGGGGAUAACAGGCUGAUACCGCCCAAGAGUUCAUAUCGACGGCGGUGUUUGGCACCUCGAUGUCGGCUCAUCACAUCCUGGGGCUGAAGUAGGUCCCAAGGGUAUGGCUGUUCGCCAUUUAAAGUGGUACGCGAGCUGGGUUUAGAACGUCGUGAGACAGUUCGGUCCCUAUCUGCCGUGGGCGCUGGAGAAUUGAGGGGGGCUGCUCCUAGUACGAGAGGACCGGAGUGGACGCAUCACUGGUGUUCGGGUUGUCAUGCCAAUGGCACUGCCCGGUAGCUAAAUGCGGAAGAGAUAAGUGCUGAAAGCAUCUAAGCACGAAACUUGCCCCGAGAUGAGUUCUCCCUGAGACUUUAAGUCUCCUGAAGGAACGUUGAAGACGACGACGUUGAUAGGCCGGGUGUGUAAGCGCAGCGAUGCGUUGAGCUAACCGGUACUAAUGAACCGUGAGGCUUAACCUU